AUGUGCUAUUUGAAUAGACACAACCAAGGUGUACGAACUCAGAGACAUCAACAAAUACAACUGUGCGUGCAUGAUGCAAGUGUGAAUGAAUGUCAUGUGUAUGCUGACAAAAACGACAGGGGAGAUGGACAGAAGAUGAUAAGACAUCACAGUACAACCCGGCGCUCGGCUAAUCUCAAAAGGAGGGGAACAUUACUGGAGAUAGAAGACAAAAGCCAACAAUGCUGUAAAAUCCUUCUACAAGGCUUAAAUCUCUUGGAGAGGAAGAUAUUUUCAGGUAGAAAACCCAAAGUCCGGUCUUCUAUUGUCGACAACCCAAUGAAAGGAUAA